CAGUGAUUACUUUAACGGCCGCGGUACCCUGACCGUGCAAAGGUAGCAUAAUCAUUUGCCUUUUAAUUGGAGGCUAGUAUGAAUGGUCUAACGAGAGUAAAACUGUCUCAUAUAUAUUUAACAGAAAUUAACCUAAAGGUGCAAAGGCCUUUAUUCAUCAAAAAGACGAGAAGACCCUGUUGAGCUUUAAUCUUAACAAGCAUUUUUUUUAUAUUCAUAGAUUUAUUUUUGCCUGCUAAAGAUUUUAAUUGGGGCGAUUAAGGAACACCUACUAGCUUCCUGAUUAUAAGUUAAACCGAUCCAACAAUGUUGAUCAACAAAACGAGUUACCACAGGGAUAACAGCAUAAUUCUUCUCAAGAGCCCAUAUCGAAAGAAGAGAUUGUGACCUCGAUGUUGGACUAGGGUAACCAGAAGGUGCAGCUGCUUUCUUGUUUGGUCUGUUCGACCAAUAAUUCCCU
rnacentral:rRNA from 1 species